GACGAACGCUGGCGGCGUGCUUAACACAUGCAAGUCGAACGGAAAGGCCCUGCGUUUGUGGGGUGCUCGAGUGGCGAACGGGUGAGUAACACGUGAGUAACCUGCCCUUGACUUUGGGAUAACUUCAGGAAACUGGGGCUAAUACCGGAUAGGAGCUCCUGCUGCAUGGUGGGGGUUGGAAAGUUUCGGCGGGUGGGGAUGGACUCGCGGCUUAUCAGCUUGUUGGUGGGGUAGUGGCUUACCAAGGCUUUGACGGGUAGCCGGCCUGAGAGGGUGACCGGCCACAUGGGGACUGCGAUACGGCCCAGACUCCUACGGGAGGCAGCAGUGGGGAAUAUUGCACAAUGAGCGGAAGCCUGAUGCAGCAACGCCGCGUGCGGGAUGACGGCUUUCGGGUUGUAAACCGCUUUCGCCUGUGACGAAGCGUGAGUGACGGUAAUGGGUAAAGAAGCACCGGCUAACUACGUG
rnacentral:rRNA from 1 species